CUCUCAGUUCUCUCAAAUAACUGAGAUGAAAUUGGAUCUGAGAUUACUGCGGCUUGAUUUUAGAGCAAUCUUCAGCUAUCUGUUUAUUUCUUCAGCAGAAAAUGAGUGCAAGUCUGGAAAGAUUAAAAUUUCCAUUUUAAGCAAGAUGUCUUGAGACGUGUGCAUGAGGAUCCGUUGAAUAACUCUCACACAGACAUCCUGAACAAUGUUGAACUGGAACAAUCCGAAAUCUUAUUAGCUAUAAAUCAAGUUUUGGUUGAAGUUUUUAAGAUCAAAUUUCUAUUACUCAAGAUGAGAUUACAAAUAUUAGCUCAGCAGAUGAAGUUCUUAAUCAACAGAAUAAGUGUACAUUGAACAUUUUGAUUAAGAAUCUAGCUGUCAGUUAGGUCAACAUUUAAUCUUCAAUAGGCUAAUCUCAGAUGAAGAAUGUGGUACUUCUCAAAAUCAAGCACGUCUCUGAGCAUCUCUCUUUGGGCAAUAAUAAAGAGAGCGAUUAUGACGCUUUCAAGGCUACCUUUCCUGAUUCUAAGAUUAUAAAAUUCUCAAGGUUUGGUGAUCAAUUGGGAUGCUAGCAGCAAACAGACAGGUACUUGAUCACACGAGGAACCAAAUUCGCCUUUUGCGGAGUCUACCUGGUAUUAACCCUGAGACAAUAUUGGCUGACUUACAGUCUCUAGGGAAAGUAAUUUUUCGAGAUGAAAUCAAAUAAUCUGAAACUUGAAGAAAGAGAAAGAAACUACAAAAGCAGAAAACUCCAUCCUUAAAAGCUGAAGUCAAUUCAAUGGUGUCUCGAAAAACAAGUUAUAGAAAAAGUCUCGCAGAGGAAGUCACGCUGCCGCUGCAAAAGAUCAACUAUUUCAAGACAGAAAUUCCCUAAUCCAACCGGUGCUAAAAGCUCCAUUUUCCACCACUGCCCCAUCCCCACCACAACCACCAUCACCCCCAAAUGAAUGUGUUAUACUGGUUUUGUUUGGAAUCCCUUACAUUUACUCUAGAGGGACGGCUUCACCUAAUCGUCGCGUAACGACUUUUCUUCUCAACCUAAAGCAGAAGUUAUCUUUCUUUGCUGGAGAGGUUAUGGAACAACAGAAGUUUCCGAGUACUACAUUCAUAUUUCAUCAGGAAGCAGACUAGUAACAGAAGAAAAGGGAUCAAGAAUAGAUGGGAGACAUGGAUGACACGUGCCAAAAACAAUAAAAGGAUCUCAAUUCAUCUUUCUCAGCCAAUAGCUGGCAGGGUUCUGGAAGGAAUUAGGGCACUCUUUCCUAGAGAUAUUUCUAGGUGUCGUGGCUUUGAUUCGUUCAAUAUCAGUGAUGAGGAAAGAAUAUCAGACUCGUAUGUAUGUGGUGUUGUUUUCGGGAACCCCUUACGCUGAUUAUGAUGAGAAGUUUUUGAUCCUAAAUACCUAGCGCAAUUGUCAUGUUGAAUCUUCAUAGGAAAUCUCUUGGAGAAAGUUAGCAGAUGUAUCCGUGUUGAGAGACCAACAAGAUUCCGCAAGUUAUGGUGCAGCAUCAUCUACUUGGAGAAAUACUCUUGUCUAAGCACGUUCAGCAGGUUGUCUCUUUUGGAUGCAGCAGGGGCAGUUGGAGUCAUCUUCAGAAGACGAGGGGUCAUCUGAAUAGACCUACAAGGUUUGCGUGGAUGCCUAUUUGAGAAAGAUUAUGAAACUGAAAUGUGGAUUAUCAUUUUUGAACAAUAUGCUUUGAAGAACACCCUAUCUGUGCUUAUGUUGGUCUUGUCGAAAAAAUAGGACUCUGUCAAUUCAGCCAAGAACAAUCCCAAGCUUCCACACUUUAAGAUCAUGGACAUUACUAGGUGAAGCCUGCGACAGACCCUCCUUGUGUCAGAAGGCUGUUAGAAGACAACUUGAACCGCAUGACUUGAUGAAUGAUAGAUUUGUAUUUAUUUGUUAAUCCUUGUAAGUUGAACAAAAUGUACUUCGGAAAAAUAAGGAAAUUUUGACCAUCAAUGCUUGCUCUAAAACCAGGAUUAUAUAUUUCCCUUGUUGGCUUAA